CCCCUUUAUACAUCAGUUCUCUCAGCAUGUGUGCCUGCCUACUGGCUCCCCUGUCUAUGCCUGAUUCGGAAUUACCCCUCUGAGCUAAAACACAACAUCUCAUCCUAGACCUAGAAUAGAAAUGAUUACAUUCCAAGAGACUGGCGUCUGACAUGGAUGAUUGUUAAACCAUGGAGAUGCUGCCUUUGUCACCACCGAGAACAAGUGGGCACAAGUCGUCACCGGUAACCUAUCAGAAGUCAGGAUGAGCCCUGCAUGGCUAGAAAUGUGUUGGAGGGCGUAACGGUCGUCAUCGGUGGAAGAAGAAGAGGACCA